UACACGGCUCGGUUGUCUUUAUACCGAUGUAUUACUGUUCUCAUUGUGCCUCAUCUUAAUAACUGAACCCACAAUGUGUUUAUUCAAUCUGUUAUGAGUGAUUGGUGCCUUGUGUCUUGUACAGUAAAUAAGCCUAAGAAGUGGACUAAUUAAUUUCAGAGUUUGCUGUUAUGUUUAGCAUUUGUCAGAGCUUUGACAAGGUGACUACUAGUUAACAGAUUCAAAGCAACUCUUCAAGGAAUCACAACAUUGGUACCAAUGAGCCCACUGCGCUUUUCCGGCAUUUUCUGGACCUGGUUCAGUGUUUCCGGUUUUUAAACUUUCCUCAAGUUUGCUGGUUAUCAUAACUUCACAAGAUGAGGGCGGUAGCUGAAGAUUAUACAACUCUUCUAGCAAGCAAAUAAAAUAUUCAAAAGAUGAGAAAUAGCUCCAUUUUGAUAGCGCCUUUCAUGACCUCAGCAUGUCCCAAAGUACUUUAGACUUCAGCAGUACUUCAUUGGCUGUAGUCACUGUUGUAAUGUAGGGGAACUUGGCAAUUAUUCUGAAUCAGGCACAAUAAUUCCUUUAGGACAAUGGUCAAGUGUGACUGAGACAUCCAGACCAACUUAGUUGUUUUCAGCCAAAGCAACAGCGAGGGAUGCUACAGACAGUCUAACUGUCCCUCUGAGGCUCUGGGCCUCAGGACCAAAUGGGGACCCUGAGAUCCCAGCAAAGCAGUGGCACUCUCCGAAUUGGCCGUCUCCACGGUCACUGUACUAUUAAGGAUGGUGGCCCUCCCAAUGCUGCCGGUCCAGUCUGAGGCCAACAGCUUUGGAGCCUUGGUAGGCCCCACUGGGAAGUGUGGGCAAGCCUCAAGAUGGAAGCACCCUCACUAGCCAACACAACACAGAACGGCUGCACUAAA